rnacentral:misc_RNA from 1 species
AAGUCGUAACAAGGUCUCCGUAGGUGAACCUGCGGAGGGAUCAUUAAUAGUCACGGUGCUGCGGAGAAAUCCCGGUCAUCCGGUUCUAUUACCACCCUUUGUGAACCAAACUCUGUUGCUUCGGGGGCGGCCGUCCCUCUCACCUCGUAAGGGGUGAUGGCGGCGCCCCCGGUGGCCAUCAAUCAAACUCUGCAUCUCUUUGCGUCGGAGUCUUGAAUAGAAUUCAAACAAAACUUUCAACAACGGAUCUCUUGGUUCUG